rnacentral:lncRNA from 1 species
UCAAGACGGACGAAAUGGUGCUAAGCAUUUCGUCCAGCGCGGUAGCCAUUCAGCCAGCUCUGUAGCUUUAAAUCAUCCCCACCACCACCACCAUCAUCAUCAUCAUCAUCAUCAUCAUCAUCAUAGAAGACAUACUAAAUUAAAGAAUCGCGGGGUGUGGAUUACAAUUCUCACGUAAUCUUUCGCUAAAAUAACAGCUUAAUACUCACAGAAUUACUUCACUAGACAGAAAUAAAUACAGAAAUAAAUAAAUAUAAAUAUGAUACAUAAAAAGUAAAAAAAAAAACAAUAUCUAAAAAUCCAAAUAAUGUUAUAAGUUAUCUCAAACAUCUUAAGUUGCAUGUCUUAUUUAUUUAUGAAUGUUUUUAUUUUAUUUAUUUAUUUAUUUAUUUAUUUAUUUAUAUUACCUAAUGGGUUCUUCUCUCUGAUUGUCUACGAUUCUGGUAUAUAUUAUAUAUGCCCACUAUAUGUGAAUAGGCUUGCGUCAAUAUACAUACAUACAUACAUACAUACAUACAUACAUACAUACAUACAUACAUACAUACAUGUGUAUAUGUGUGUGUAUAUAUAUAUAUAUGCGUCACGUACGUGUAUACGAGCAUACACGUGUGCACACGCGCAUUCACGGUGCUAUGUACGUUAAUAUAAUAUUAAUCUUUAUGCUGAGAUUGGCGCCUAUUCAGGAAGAGACUACGCGCAGGCUUUCCUUGUCCAUUCGUAGUUUUGUUGAUAAAUAUGUAUGUGCAUGUAUGUGUGCAUACAUACAUAUUUAGUCAUGCCUCUACCUACCUACCUACCUACCUACCUACCUACCUACCUACCUACCGACUUACAUAUCUAUCUAUCUAUCUAUCUAUCUAUCCAUGUGUGUAUGUGUGUGUAUUUGUUUAGGUAUGUAUAUGGGUGAAUGAGCAUACCAAAGUACAUCAUCAUAUACAUAUAUAUACAUACAAAUAUUUAUAUAUAUGUGUGUGUGUGUGUUUAUAUAUAUAUAUCGAUAUAUCCAUAUGCAUAUGUAUAUAUGUAUAUAUAUGUGUGUAUAUAUAUGUACAUUCAUAUAUGAAUAUAUAUAUAUAUAUACAUAUAUAUAUAUGUCUAUGUAUAUAUAUAUACAUAUUAAGCAUAAAUAUAUGAAUAUAUACACACAAACAUACAUAUAUAUAUAUAUAUAUAUAUAUAUAUAUAUAUAUAUAUAUAUAUAUAUAUAUAUAUAUAUGUAUAUAUGUAUAUACAAAUAUACAUAUAUACAUAUAUAUAUAUAUUAAUGUAUAUAUAUAUAUAUGUGUGUGUGUGUGUGUGUGUGUGCGCGCAUGUAUGUAUGUAUGUAUGUAUGUAUGACUAAAGACGUGCACCCGUACAUAGAACCAUGCAUAUUUAUAUAUAAGCCAUCGAUAUAAAGUGUUGAAUGCAUUAGUCUUAUUUUAAUUGUUUUAUUUUGUAUCUUCUUUUAUUUUUAUUUUCUCUGAUGUCAGUCUGAAACGACGUACCUCUGUAGGGGAGCGAGGGAAUAAGAACAACCGUGACCAAAUGGCAUAAUCGUAAUACUGAAAGCAAUGAUGAGGGCGUAGGAGAUGAUGAUGAUGAUGAUGAUGUUGUUGGUGAUGAUGAUGAUGAUGAUGAUGAUGAUGAUGAUGACGACGAUGGCGAUGAUGAUGAUGACGAUGGCGAUGAUGAUGAUGAUGAUGACGAUGGCGAUGGUGUUGAUGAUGAUGCUAAUGUUGAUGAUGAUGAUGUUGAUUAUGAUAAUGAUGAUGAUGAUGUUGAUGACCAUGAUAAUAACAAUGUUGAUGAUGCAUCAUCAUGACGACGACGACGAUGAUGAUGAGAAUGUGGAGGAAAAGAAUAGUCUUUACCAGUUAUUAUUAGUUUUUACCUUCUAAGGCGAAAAUCCUAUUGAGCUGAAGCUUCAUCUUUUACCCUUCUUGGAUCGAUAAAAUGUUAUUGAACUAUUGGAUUGAGAAUGUCAUCAAGUCUAAAACAUUACCCCUCCACCAUCACCAUUACCACCACCUCACCCCUCACAAAUCUGCGGCUUUAGAUGGGGGCUUUAUGGGGGGUAAUUUUCCUAGUGUACAAGGGCAUGUGUGUGUAUGGUGGGGUGUUGUCAGUUCCAAGAUCGCACGUUGUGUUCCUGAGCAAAACACUUCAUUUCAGUAGGUUCUGGCCAAUCGGCUGCAGACAUGUUCCACUAAGAGGUAGAAGGUCAAACGCCUGCGAAAAUGGACUUGAAUACCGUCCAGCAAGCGGGAUGGGGAUGCGGGUGGGGUGGGAGUGUGGAAAGGGUUUGGGUUGCAGUCUCUUUCAUUCAAUGGCAACAUGAUAGAGCCCUAAGGUAUCCCCAGAUUCGCUUCUGAGUCUUUCCACUGACUUGUGCAGGAUUGACUGACUAUUGGAUGUGUAUGUGUAUGUAUGUAUGUAUUUAUCUACAUAUAUAUAUGUGUGUGUACAUAUAUAUGUGAUAUAUAUGUAUAUAUAUAUAUAUAUGUUGUUUGUUGUUGUUUGUUCCUUCUCGAGCCAUGCCUGGCUCAUAGGGCUGGUUUCCCGGUUUCCUUGGCGUAUAGGUUCCCCACCUGGACGGGACGCCGGUCUGUCCUAAUUGAGCUGCAAGAUGCAGAAAGAAAGAGUGAAAGAAAAUUUUGACGAAAAACUCAGCAAAAUUUCGCUAUUACCUUCUGCCGGAGCCGUGUGGAGCUUAGGUGUUUCGCUCAUAAACAUACACAUCGCCCCGUCUGAGAUUCGAACCCGCGAUCCCCCAUCGUAAUCUCAACAUUUCUUCUAGCAACCCGUGUACAUAAUUCAUGAUUCAGUAACCGAGCACCGCAUGAAACAAAGACACAGUGACAAGAUGUUGUCAAGUUUUGUUUUCGGAAUAUAAAAGCUUCCCAGCUUUCUUAGUAUAUUGUGUAUAUUUAUGGAUCUGCAGUUAUAAAGUCCCUCUCUAAGCUACAGACCGGAACAAUUUUAUGUUGUUUUCUUUUUUUCCCCAGAGAAGGAUAUCUGCUGGAAACAUCGUUCCCGGUGUAGCCCAUAAAAUAUUAUAUAAGCGCCAUGUUAUGGACCUUGUUGCAGAAAAACAGAAGGAUUUCUGUCAGACGACAGACAACCGGAACAAACACGCAAGACCGCCCAUCAUUGUUAUAAUCCCUAGGAUAAUGCCGUCUCUAAUCCUAGGAGCCAAAGGGAUAUUUACCUGGUUUCCAUGGCGUAUAAGUGAUUGAGUUUAUCGAGAUUACAUGAUAGCCCGGCGUACGGUUACUCAUAACUGAAUCGACUGCAGCAUCGUGGAUUGAAGUGUUUUGUCCAAGAACGCAACAACACACCGUUUCCACAAUAUUUCACCAAUUUAUCACCGGAAAAACUAUCGCGUUAACAUAAAAGGCAAAUAAAUAAAUAAAUAAGGACGACGACAGAGUUUGAAUUUAAGCCAUGCAGCGCUGGUACAAAUAUCGCAAAGCAUUCCACCCGAAAUGGUAACAACCAUAUUAGUAUAAAUUGUCCGUCCUGCUGCAGAAGCAGGCGCAGGCGUGGCUGUGUGGUAACAAAUUUCCUUCCCAACCACAUGGUUUCAGGUUCAGUCCAAUUCCGUGCUACCUUCUACUAUAGCUUCGGGCCGACCAUGCUGGAGCACCGCCUUUAAAGUGUUUUAGUUGAAGAAAUCAACACCAGGAUUUAUUUUUUGUUAGCUUAGAACUUAUUCUAUCGGUCUCUUCUUACGAAACCGUAUGUUACUGGGAUAUAAACACACCAACAUUGGUUGUAAAUCGAUGGUGGGGCAGACAAACACAGACACAAAGGCACACGUGGAUAAAUAAAUACCUUACUUACCAACCACAUGGUUCCGGGUUCAGUCACAUUGUGUGGCACAUUGGGCAAGUGACUUCUACUAUAACCUCAGACAGAUCAAAGCCUUGUGAGUGGAUUUUGAUGACGGAAAUAUGUUUGCGUGUAUAUAUAUAUAUAUGUAUAUAUGUAUCUGUUUGCGUGUCUGUGUUUGUCUCCCCACCGUUGCUUGACAAUCGAUCCUGAUGUGUUUACGUUCGCAUAACUUAGCGGUUCGGCAAAAUAAACAAAUAGAACAAGUACUAGGCUUUCAAAGAAUAGGUCCUGGGGUCGAUUUGUUCGACUAAAGGCUGUGCACCAGCAUGGCCGCAGUCAAAUGAAAUAAAAGAAUAAAAGAAUAUAUAUAUAAAUAUAUAUAUAUAUAUGUGUGUGUGUAUGGCGGGAUUCUUUCAGUUUCCGUCUACCAAAUCCACUCACAAAGCUUUGGUUGUCCCGAGGCCAUAGUAGAUGACACUUGCCCAAGGUGCUCCACAGUGGGACUGAAACACGAACCAUACUUGAGAAGCUAGCUUCUUGCCACUCAACCACGCCUAUACAUAUAUGUGCGUGUGUUUGUAUGUGUGUGUGUGUGUGUGUGUGUGUGUGUGUGUGUGUGUGUGUGUGUGUGCGUGUGUGUGUGUGUGCUACUUAACAACCGGUUUUGGUUAGUUUACGUCCCUGUAACUUACCAGUUCAGCAAAAGUGAGCGACGAAAUUACUACCAGGCUUAGAAAAAAAAGAGUAUUCCUGCUUUGUCCGACUAAAACAUAGGAUCUCAAAGUGGGCGUUGAGACGGUCCAGGUGGGUACUGGUGCAUAAGGGGGCAGUGGGUGUGGUAUAGAAAAAGGAAGCGUUUUGAGGAAGCCAUGAAUUGGAGGACGCUAUGAAUAUAUUAUGAUAUUAUCAUUAUAUUGUAUAAUAUUAUCUAAAUAUCAAAUGAUUUCUAGUAUAUAUAAAUUAGGAAGAUAUAAAAUAUUUCUUUAUACAUAAAAAUAGCGGACGGGGCGCUGAGGGUAUUAUACGGCCAUGAUGGGGGCAGUGGCCCAAAAAGUUUGAGAACCUCAGGACUAAAACCUACGAGAGGGUUGCCCGGUGUGGCCGCAGUUUAAUGACUUCAGCAAGUUAGAAAUAAAAUACCAAAGGUAAAGCCAUAAAGCCUGAAAUUUUGUGGGGAGACGGGG